CCUGCCCUUCAGAGGGGGACAACAGUUGGAAACGACUGCUAAUACCGCAUACGAUCCAAUCUCGGCAUCGAGACUGGAUGAAAGGUGGCCUCUAUUUAUAAGCUAUCACUGAAGGAGGGGAUUGCGUCUGAUUAGCUAGUUGGAGGGGUAACGGCCCACCAAGGCGAUGAUCAGUAGCCGGUCUGAGAGGAUGAACGGCCACAUUGGGACUGAAACACGGCCCAG
rnacentral:rRNA from 1 species